rnacentral:rRNA from 1 species
AAAGGCGUAACGAUUUGGGCACUGUCUCAACAACAGACUCGGUGAAAUUGUAAUUCCGGUGAAGAUGCCGGAUACCUGCGACAGGACGGAAAGACCCCAUGGAGCUUUACUGUAGCUUGACAUUGGGUCUUGGUACUACAUGUACAGGCUAGGUGGGAGGCUUUGAAACCAGGACGCCAGGUUUGGCGGAGCCAUCCUUGGGAUACCACCCUUGUAGUACUGGGACUCUAACCAUAGGCCAUGAAUCUGGUCUUGGGACACUGUCAGGUGGGCAGUUUGACUGGGGCGGUCGCCUCCCAAAAGGUAACGGAGGCGCUCAAAGGUUCUCUCAGUACGGUCGGAAAUCGUACGUAGAGUGUAAAGGCAAAAGAGAGCUUGAUUGCAAGACAUACAGGUCGAGCAAGGAUGAAAA